AGAGUUUGAUCAUGGCUCAGAGCGAACGCUGGCGGCAGGCUUAACACAUGCAAGUCGAACGGGCGUAGCAAUACGUCAGUGGCAGACGGGUGAGUAACGCGUGGGAACAUACCUCUUGGUUCGGAACAACACAGGGAAACUUGUGCUAAUACCGGAUAAGCCCUUACGGGGAAAGAUUUAUCGCCGAGAGAUUGGCCCGCGUCUGAUUAGCUAGUUGGUAGGGUAAUGGCCUACCAAGGCGACGAUCAGUAGCUGGUCUGAGAGGAUGAUCAGCCACAUUGGGACUGAGACACGGCCCAAACUCCUACGGGAGGCAGCAGUGGGGAAUAUUGGACAAUGGGCGCAAGCCUGAUCCAGCCAUGCCGCGUGAGUGAUGAAGGCCCUAGGGUUGUAAAGCUCUUUUGUACGGGAAGAUAAUGACGGUACCGUAAGAAUAAGCCCCGGCUAACUUCGUGCCAGCAGCCGCGGUAAUACGAAGGGGGCUAGCGUUGCUCGGAAUCACUGGGCGUAAAGGGUGCGUAGGCGGGUUUUUAAGUCAGAGGUGAAAUCCUGGAGCUCAACUCCAGAACUGCCUUUGAUACUGAAAGUCUUGAGUAUGGGAGAGGUGAGUGGAACUGCGAGUGUAGAGGUGAAAUUCGUAGAUAUUCGCAAGAACACCAGUGGCGAAGGCGGCUCACUGGCCCAUAACUGACGCUGAGGCACGAAAGCGUGGGGAGCAAACAGGAUUAGAUACCCUAGUAGUCC
rnacentral:rRNA from 1 species